GCCGGGCAUGGUGGCGCGCACCUGUAAUCCCAGCUACUCGGGAGGCUGAGGUAGGAGAAUCGCUUGAACCCAGGAGGCAGAGGUUGCAGUGAGCCAAGAUCAUGCCACUGCACUCCAGCCUGGGUGACAGAGUGAGACUCUAUCUCAA
ensembl:misc_RNA Metazoa_SRP Metazoan signal recognition particle RNA